rnacentral:rRNA from 1 species
GACGAACGCUGGCGGCGUGCCUAAUACAUGCAAGUAGAACGCUGAAGGAGGAGCUUGCUUCUCUGGAUGAGUUGCGAACGGGUGAGUAACGCGUAGGUAACCUGCCUGGUAGCGGGGGAUAACUAUUGGAAACGAUAGCUAAUACCGCAUAAUAGUAGAUGUCGCAUGACAUUUGCUUAAAAGGUGCAAUUGCAUCACUACCAGAUGGACCUGCGUUGUAUUAGCUAGUUGGUGAGGUAACGGCUCACCAAGGCAACGAUACAUAGCCGACCUGAGAGGGUGAUCGGCCACACUGGGACUGAGACACGGCCCAGACUCCUACGGGAGGCAGCAGUAGGGAAUCUUCGGCAAUGGACGGAAGUCUGACCGAGCAACGCCGCGUGAGUGAAGAAGGGUUUCGGAUCGUAAAGCUCUGUUGUAAGAGAAGAACGAGUGUGAGAGUGGAAAGUUCACACUGUGACGGUAGCUUACCAGAAAGGGACGGCUAACUACGUG